rnacentral:rRNA from 1 species
CCUACGGGUGGCAGCAGUGGGGAAUAUUGGACAAUGGGGGCAACCCUGAUCCAGCCAUGCCGCGUGUGUGAAGAAGGCCCUCGGGUUGUAAAGCACUUUCAGUGAGGAAGAACGCCUGGUGGUUAAUACCCAUCAGGAAAGACAUCACUCACAGAAGAAGCACCGGCUAACUCCGUGCCAGCAGCCGCGGUAAUACGGAGGGUGCGAGCGUUAAUCGGAAUUACUGGGCGUAAAGCGCGCGUAGGUGGCUUGAUAAGCCGGUUGUGAAAGCCCCGGGCUCAACCUGGGAACGGCAUCCGGAACUGUCAAGCUAGAGUGCAGGAGAGGAAGGUAGAAUUCCCGGUGUAGCGGUGAAAUGCGUAGAGAUCGGGAGGAACACCAGUGGCGAAGGCGGCCUUCUGGACUGACACUGACACUGAGGUGCGAAAGCGUGGGUAGCAAACAGGAUUAGAUACCCCUGUAGUC